GACGAACGCUGGCGGCGUGCCUAAUACAUGCCAGUUGAGCGCUGAAGGUUGGUACUUGUACCAACUGGAUGAGCAGCGAACGGGUGAGUAACGCGUGGGGAAUCUGCCUUUGAGCGGGGGACAACAUUUGGAAACGAAUGCUAAUACCGCAUAAAAACUUUAAACACAAGUUUUAAGUUUGAAAGAUGCAAUUGCAUCACUCAAAGAUGAUCCCGCGUUGUAUUAGCUAGUUGGUGAGGUAAAGGCUCACCAAGGCGAUGAUACAUAGCCGACCUGAGAGGGUGAUCGGCCACAUUGGGACUGAGACACGGCCCAAACUCCUACGGGAGGCAGCGGUAGGGAAUCUUCGGCAAUGGACGAAAGUCUGACCGAGCAACGCCGCGUGAGUGAAGAAGGUUUUCGGAUCGUAAAACUCUGUUGGUAGAGAAGAACGUUGGUGAGAGUGGAAAGCUCAUCAAGUGACGGUAACUACCCAGAAAGGGACGGCUAACUACGUG
rnacentral:rRNA from 1 species